GAUGAAGAACGCAGCGAAAUGCGAUACGUAAUGUGAAUUGCAAAUUCAGUGAAUCAUCGAGUCUUUGAACGCACAUUGCGCCCGCUAGUAUUCUGGCGGGCAUGCCUGUUCGAGCGUCAUUUCAACCAUCAAGCCCCAGGCUUGCGUUGGGGGCCUGCGGCUGCCGCAGCCCCUGAAAAGCAGUGGCGGGCUCGCUGUCAUUCCGAGCGUAGUAGUUACAUCUCGCUCCGGGCGUGGCGGUGGGCACCUGCCGUGAAACACUCUAUCUAAGGUUGACCUCGGAUCAGGAAGGAAUACCCGCUGAACUUAAGCAUAUCAAUAAGCGGAGGA
rnacentral:misc_RNA from 1 species